UAGUCUGUGAAGAUAUGUACGGAGGAUCCGAAGGCAAACCCCGGAAUAAACGGCAAACAACCAAGUUGGCUGACAGAGUCGGAUAACCCUGCAAAAGAAGGGAACAUCCAGUACCAUCAUAGACACUGGAUGUUAGGAGGACUGGCUUCGGGCGAAAGUUGUAGAU
rfam:Paenibacillus sp. LPB0068 PNBC_05, whole genome shotgun sequence.